rnacentral:lncRNA from 1 species
GUUUUAAAGGAUAAGGGGCAGCCAGUGCUCCCUGAUUUUGGAAAGGAGGUGAAUCUGGGGUAAGGCAAAAUGUCAGCUCUACAUGCAGUACAACAGUCCCAGAGUGCUCAGUCAGCCAAGACCCAGGGUGGGUUGACACUUACAUACCUGAGUUCCUGUUGAGCACGUGGCUUAUUCUUUUAUGCUGAGACUCUCAGAAAGAAAGAAAGGAAGGAAGAAAGAAAGGAGAAGAGAGGAGAGAGGGAGAGAGGAGAAAGAGAGGGAGAAAAAGAAAAAGAAAGAUGAGAGCAGAGAAGAAGGAAGAAAGGAAGGAAAAAGGAAGAAGGAAGGAAAAAAAGAGAGUAAGAAAGAAAGGAGAGGGAAGGAGGAAGGAAGAAAGAACAAAAGAAAAAGAAAAAAACAAACAACCAAAUAAGCAAAAAUAUCUAAACUGAAUCACAGAGGAGAAUGUAGUCAAUGCAAGUUACCACAAUAUGCUGUGGGAACACAGGAGGGGAGAAGUGGUGUCCAGGGUGGCCAUGUGUGUCAGUGGUGGAGGGCAAAUAGGAAAGAGGACAAGGUCAGUGCAUAAAUCACAGGUGAAAGAACAUCUUGUGUAUUCAUUCAUUCAUUCAUUCAUUCGACAAAUAGUAAUUUUUCCUUUCUUGGCUAGGGAAUACAGACCUGUCCCCUGUCCUGUGGGAGCUUAAAUCUCAUGAAGAAGACAGACAAAGAUAAUAUAAUGACCCAGAUAAAAUGUAAACUUGUGGAAAGUGUAGGGAAGGAGAGAGCUGUGUUUGCUGUAAGUGGGUAUAACCAGGGGAUUUCCCCCACCCAGGGAGGUCAGAGAAGGAUGUUUAAGGGUGGGUGAGAUUUCAACACCUCAGAGGAGGGCGAGAUAUCCUAUUAGGAGAAACAGACUGGGCAGUGAGCAGGGCUGGAAAGGGCUGGCCAGGUGUAGGGAAAGAUGAGUGGUCUGGACCCAUGAAAAUGGCAGGGAAUGAAUGAGAGACAAUGAGGUACGAGGCUCUGCGCCUGGCAGUUUCUAUGUUUGGAGUUUAUGUUACACUUAGAACAAUCCUGUAAGCCCUAAAGGUGAUGUUGAACCUCUGAUUCUGCUACAGUACUAAGAUUUAUUAUGUCACUGGAGGGCAGUGAAGAUAUGAUGUGACAUGAUGUACAGAGCAAACCAACUGGCCCUCUUGCAACUGGAACUCUUGAAUGGAACACUUGCUCUUGGAGUCCUGAGGGGCCAUUGAAGGUAUCCAACUACUCUGAGGCUCCCAUGCUGGAGAGAUCCCAGGUAAGUGCUCCAGUUGAGGGUCUCAGCUGACCCCAGUCUUCCAGCUGUCCUUGCCAAGGUGCCAGAUGUAUGAGAGCCCCUCCAGACCAGACCAUCUUUUAGUCCAGUGCCACCAAGUCAACUCUGUUGAUGCCACAUGGAACAGACGAACCACUCAGCUGUGCCCUGUCCAAAUUCCUGACCUAAAAAAUUCUGAGCUGUGGACACAAGUCUUAUGAGUUCAUCUAUAAACAUAAGCAUAGAAAGCAGUAGAAGCCACACCUGUGGUGAGGAGCUCUCCAUAUGGGGUUGAGGUGGCACAAACCAAAGAGCGGGGCUUGCCAGAGAUCUAGGCGAAGUCAGAGAGAAAGCAUCAUAGCAGCCUGUGCUCAGAAGUCCCUGGGAACGUCCUGAACCUUCCGAGGGUGACCCUGGAGAAAACACUCACCACUGAGUGACUCACAGCCUCUUCUCUGAGCCACUGAAGUCAAAACAGGGAUCCGAAGCUUGCUCCCGGCCACUUCACCUUGUCGUUGAGCAUCCUCUUCCUCUGGAAACACUGGCCUCCUAGUUCUUGGUCUUUUCUUCUCUUCUUUCCUGUAGAGUCUGUGAAAAAAAAAAGAUGAACUCACACUUUCAUGUAGUUAAUACUAAACUUAAUUAAUCCUGGCAACAGCCUAUGGGAAGGGUGUGGCAUUGCUUACUGCACUGAUUUAAUUGAGAUCUGAAUAGUUCUGGGGACUAAGAUCCCACAAUCCUAGUUUUUUUUUUUGUUUUGUUGGCAAAAUCCUGCCUAGUUUUUUUUGUUUUAUUGGGGGAUCAAGUUCCUGGAUUGCUAUUUGUAGACAGCAUUUACCUUAAAGCAGGUGCCUUCAAAGGAGAAACUCCUUACUGUUAGAAUUUUAGACAGCAUGGCAGGGUCUUGAAGUAGAUUUGUGGGAAUUUCCCUGGGACCCUCAGGUCACAUGACCAUUUAUUGGCCCUGCUCUGCAGGGCACCUUAGGUGAUGUAUUGCAAAGGCAGAUCAAGGGAAAGCAGAUGUUGCCAUGGAAAUGGCCCUGCCCCCAUUCAUUAUUAAAAGUUGUUGUUAUUGUUGUUUUUUGGCAGCAUCAAAUAGCAGUGAAAAUUUUUGAGGCAGCUGACCUAAAUUUUGAAUGUGAUCUCAUAGUCAGGGUUCUUAAAUUAGUGAAAACGAAUAUGCUUCCUACAGGAAAUUAUUUAAAAAGAUGACACAUGAGGAUUUAGUCCAGAAGCCACUGGAUUGAAAAGAUACCUCAGUGUGUCCAACCUGGGCAGAAAAGUCCUGCCAAAGAAACAUUUAUAAGGUUGCUUUUAAAUUGGAUUUGAUAAAAUAAAAGUUACAAUAAAAAAAUAAGCUGGGUUUGAGUUAAUAGUAGUAAAGGCAUGGGUAUAUGUUGUUAUUUAUUUGAGUUAUC